rnacentral:rRNA from 1 species
AACUGGGGAACUUGAGUGCAGAAGAGGAGAGUGGAAUUCCACGUGUAGCGGUGAAAUGCGUAGAGAUGUGGAGGAACACCAGUGGCGAAGGCGACUCUCUGGCCUGUAACUGACGCUGAGGCGCGAAGCGUGGGAGCGAACAGGAUUAGAUACCCUGGUAGUCCACGCCGUAAACGAUGAGUGCUAAGUGUUAGAGGGUUUCCGCCCUUUAGUGCUGCAGCAAACGCAUU